rnacentral:rRNA from 1 species
GACGAACGCCGGCGGCGUGCUUAACACAUGCAAGUCGAACGGACAGACAGAGAGCUUGCUCUCUUGAAGUUAGUGGCGAACGGGUGAGUAACGCGUAAUCAACCUGCCCUUCAGAGGGGGAUAACAACGGGAAACCGUUGCUAAUACCGCGUACGAUUCAUGAACGGCAUCGUUUAUGAAUGAAAGGUGGCCUCUAUGUAUAAGCUAUCGCUGAAGGAGGGGAUUGGGACUGAUUAGCUAGUUGGAGGGGUAACGGCCCACCAAGGCAAUGAUGAGUAGCGGGUCUGAGAGGAUGAAGGGCCACAUUGGGACUGGGACACGGCCCGAACUCCGACGGGAGGCAGCAGUGGGGAAGCUUCCGCAAUGGACGAAAGUCUGACGGAGCAAGGCCGCGUGAGUGAUGAAGGUCUUCGGAUUGUAAAGCUCUGUUAAUCGGGACGAAAGAGUUCUGCGUGAAUAAUGCAGAAAAGUGACGGUACCGGAAUAGAAAGCCACGGCUAACUACGUGCCAGCCGCCGCGGUAA